rnacentral:rRNA from 1 species
GACGAACCGUGCGAACGUUGUUCGGAAUCACUGGGCUUAAAGGGCGCGUAGGCGGGUUCGCAAGUCUGUGGUGAAAGCCUCCAGCUUAACUGGAGAAGUGCCGUGGAUACUGCGAAUCUUGAGGAGGGUAGGGGCGUCUGGAACGGUCGGUGGAGCGGUGAAAUGCGUUGAUAUCGACCGGAACUCCGGUGCGAAGGCGAGGCGCUGGACCCUUUCUGACGCUGAGACGCGAAAGCGUGGGGAGCGAACGAGG